AGUGGCGAACGGGUGAGUAACACGUGAGCAACCUGCCCUGGACUCUGGGAUAAGCGCUGGAAACGGCGUCUAAUACUGGAUAUGAGACGUGAUCGCAUGGUCGUGUUUGGAAAGAUUUUUCGGUCUGGGAUGGGCUCGCGGCCUAUCAGCUUGUUGGUGAGGUAAUGGCUCACCAAGGCGUCGACGGGUAGCCGGCCUGAGAGGGUGACCGGCCACACUGGGACUGAGACACGGCCCAGACUCCUACGGGAGGCAGCAGUGGGGAAUAUUGCACAAUGGGCGGAAGCCUGAUGCAGCAACGCCGCGUGAGGGAUGACGGCCUUCGGGUUGUAAACCUCUUUUAGCAGGGAAGAAGCGAAAGUGACGGUACCUGCAGAAAAAGCGCCGGCUAACUACGUGCCAGCAGCCGCGGUAAUACGUAGGGCGCAAGCGUUAUCCGGAAUUAUUGGGCGUAAAGAGCUCGUAGGCGGUUUGUCGCGUCUGCUGUGAAAUCCCGAGGCUCAACCUCGGGCCUGCAGUGGGUACGGGCAGACUAGAGUGCGGUA
rnacentral:rRNA from 1 species